GAAUAACUUGAAGAUGCACAUUGCAAGAAUUUUGAUUCUCAACAGAUUUCAAUUUUCUUUUAUAUUUUUUAUAUUAACAGGUUGUUGAACUUUCGAAUUUGGGGAAUGUUUUACACACAGAACUGUUGGUUUGCUAUCUACAUGUACCUCCUGCCACAGUUCAUAUCACCUCGCAUGCGUCCCUUUAUUCAUACAAUGCAAAGAAAGUAUAUCACAGCCUGAUGAUGGAUGAUACUACCUGAAGAAAAGUUCUACAAAUUAUGGCUGACGAAAAUCACCCUAAACCACAACUGAUCAAAACCAUUCAACUAUUCACAUGCUGAAAUUACAACGAGAACCCUUUGAACACAGUCAGAUUGCAGACAUGGUCUGUUGCACGAAACCAUUCAUCUAUUCAACAGUGAUAUAUUCUAUAAAAAGGAUUUUGUACAAGUUCUCAAUUCAUUUCCUGGAAGAAGGGAAAUGGAUUCAGUUGAUGAAAUUUUAUUAACUCAAAUUCAAUCUAAAGAAGUCUUGGUGAGGAUACAUAUACUGUAAUCAAAAAUAUUUUGGGGUUUAGAAUUUGAAAGGAAUUCAAGUGCGUUGUGGUGUCCAAACCUGGAUCUCAAAAUAAACUGUUAUGUUAAUAUAUCUGAUGACGAAUUGGUGAUGGAAGAAAACGGAGUUUGGAAUGAGUCCCAAGUAGACAAUACUAAUACCUUUCAAACGAUAAAACAGAGAAUGCUAAUGGUCUUUUUGUGACACCUGUUUCUGAUACAUGUUUGUAUCUUCGCUCGAGGAUCAAACCAGAUGAAGAGAAAUGGGAGAAAGAUCAGCGAAUUGGAAUUAACAUCGCUACUAGAGUUGAGAUAAGUAUGUGUAAAACACUGGCUUAGUGGGAUUUAAGAGCAACUACACCCACUAGAAUGUACGCUGCUAACCGUUGGACCAGUUUGUAUGUGAAACGGGUCACUGAUCUGAUGCAGCCAGGUCCUACAUGACAAAAAGCAAUUAACAGAACCAAGAAGAGAAUGGCGUUGUACAUGGGAAUAUUAAUGCAUGUAAAAGGCAAUGUGUUUCAAUGAACCUGACAAGAUCAAUUCUGUGAAUGUAUCAGCUCAGAGUGUACUACAAAUCAAGUAAGGUUUUUUUUCUGUGGAAAGCAUAAUGUAAUAUAACGUAAAACUAUUUUUUGCGUAUCACAACUUUUGCAAAAAUACUUCAAAACAAUGUUAUUUAUUAUUUGCGUAGUUCUGUAUUUGCGAUUCUCCAAGUCAAAUUAUAAAGUUACAAAUUAAGUGAUAGGUUUCAAAUUUGUACAGAACAGAAAUUACUGUUACGUGUGUUAUUACUCAACAUUUUACAGGUACGUGUACCGAGUGACAACGCCUGGCCACCGUUUUAAAUAAUUAGUACUACAUCCGAUCUCACUGAGUUAUUUAAUUGUUUGUGAUUCACAAGUACUCGCAAAGAAAGCGAAAACAGGAUUAUGGCAAAAUAAACGCUUUUAACAG